rnacentral:rRNA from 1 species
GAUGAACGCUGGCGGCGUGCCUAAUACAUGCAAGUCGAGCGAACGGACGAGAAGCUUGCUUCUCUGAUGUUAGCGGCGGACGGGUGAGUAACACGUGGAUAACCUACCUAUAAGACUGGGAUAACUUCGGGAAACCGGAGCUAAUACCGGAUAAUAUUUUGAACCGCAUGGUUCAAAAGUGAAAGACGGUCUUGCUGUCACUUAUAGAUGGAUCUGCGCUGCAUUAGCUAGUUGGUAAGGUAACGGCUUACCAAGGCAACGAUGCAUAGCCGACCUGAGAGUGGGGCGGCCCACAGUGGACAGGAGACAGGGUCCAGCCCCAGGCGGGGGGCGCCAGGGGGGAAUCUUCCGAAAGGGGGGAACGCCUGAGGGGCCAACGCCGGGGGAGUGAGAAGGUUCUGGGGAUCGUAAAACUUUUUUAUUGGGAAAAAACAUAUGUGUAAGUAUCUGUCCACCUCUGCAGGGUACAUAAUAAAAAGACCACGGCUACCUCCGUC